UUAUGCUUGGUCUGACUUGAUGAACUUUGAAUAUACAGAUCUGAAAACUGCAAAAGGACAUCUCCACCUACUCCAGUGGUGCAGCUCCCAACUCCGAGGUUUUGGGGAGCUUUUGAAGACCUAUUUCCCGUUACCCUUCACGGGAAGCCUCCGACAAAGGUGCAGGCAGCAGAGGCAGGAUUUGAGGACCGCAGCUACUACCACUACUGGAGGAGGCUUCAGUACAAGCUGCGGGUACAGUAUACUCUUGAGCAAUCCACUGACAGGACUGGCCAAAAACCCCCAGCGUCUCGUGUCCAGCGUGCCAUUGCCAAGGAGACCAGGUGGACCACUAAUGUGCCAUCCAUGGGCAGUGUUCUGCUGGCGUGGGUGCCCUGCCAGGAACCGUCCCCUGUCGCAAAUGACCCUCUCCUCAUUGCUUCCGUGGUCCAUCAGAAGUGGAAAGGGCUGGCCAUUAAGCACUUCGAGGGGAAAGGCAAAGGUGUGACUACCCACAUUUGUAA
rnacentral:lncRNA from 1 species